rnacentral:rRNA from 1 species
UUGAUUAAACCAUAAGAGGUCCAGCCUGCCCAGUGACAUUGUUCAACGGCCGCGGUAUCCUAACCGUGCGAAGGUAGCGUAAUCACUUGUCCUUUAAAUGAAGACUAGUAUGAAUGGCCCCACGAAAGCUAUACUGUCUCCUUUUUCUAAUCAGUUAAACUAAUCUCCCCGUGAAGAAGCGGGGAUAAACAUAUAAGACGAGAAGACCCUAUGGAGCUUCAAACAACUGAAACACUUGUAUAUCCUCCCCUCACCUACCAACAUUUAACCUCACAUUUUGUUUCUAGUUUUAGGUUGGGGUGACCACGGAGAAAAAACUAACCUCCACGACGAAAGAGACAUCUCUAAACAAAAAGCUACAUCUUUAUGUAUUAACACAUUAACCUUUAUUGACCCA